AUUAGAUACCCUGGUAGUCCGCACGGUAAACGAUGGAUGCCCGCCGUUGGGUAUUUUUAUUCAGCGGCCAAGCGAAAGCGUUAAGCAUCCCACCUGGGGAGUACGCCGGCAACGGUGAAACUCAAAGGAAUUGACGGGGGCCCGCACAAGCGGAGGAACAUGUGGUUUAAUUCGAUGAUACGCGAGGAACCUUACCCGGGCUUGAAUUGCAGAUGACGGAUCCAGAGAUGGUGACUUCCUUCGGGACAUCUGUGAAGGUGCUGCAUGGUUGUCGUCAGCUCGUGCCGUGAGGUGUCGGCUUAAGUGCCAUAACGAGCGCAACCCCUUUCGUCAGUUGCCAUCGGGUAAUGCCGGGCACUCUGGCGACACUGCCGCCGCAAGGUGUGAGGAAGGUGGGGAUGACGUCAAAUCAGCACGGCCCUUACGUCCGGGGCUACACACGUGUUACAAUGGGGCGUACAGAGAGUUGGUCAUGCGCAAGCAUGAUCGGAUCAUGAAAGUGUCCCUCAGUUCGGACUGGGGUCUGCAACCCGACCCCACGAAGCUGGAUUCGCUAGUAAUCGCGCAUCAGCCAUGGCGCGGUGAAUACGUUCCCGGGCCUUGUACACACCGCCCGUCAAGCCAUGAAAGCCGGGGGCGCCUGAAGUCCGUGACCGCGAAAAUGGGCCUAGGGUGAAACCGGUGAUUGGGGCUAAGUCGUAACAAGGUACC
rnacentral:rRNA from 1 species